UACGAGGGGGGCUAGCGUUGCUCGGAAUUACUGGGCGUAAAGGGCGCGUAGGCGGAUAUUUAAGUCGGGGGGUGAAAGCCCGGGGCUCAACCUCGGAAUUGCCUUCGAUACUGGAUAUCUUGAGUUCGGGAGAGGUGAGUGGAAUGCCGAGUGUAGAGGUGAAAUUCGUAGAUAUUCGGCGGAACACCAGUGGCGAAGGCGACUCACUGGCCCGAUACUGACGCUGAGGCGCGAAAGCGUGGGGAGCAAACAGG
rnacentral:rRNA from 1 species